GGGGGUAUAGCUUAGUGGUAGAGCAUUUGACUGCAGAUCAAGAGAUUUCCCCAGUUCAAAUCUGGGUGCCCCCC